rnacentral:rRNA from 1 species
GACGAACGCUGGCGGCGUGCUUAACACAUGCAAGUCGAGCGGUAAGGCCUUUCGGGGUACACGAGCGGCGAACGGGUGAGUAACACGUGGGUGAUCUGCCCUGCACUUCGGGAUAAGCCUGGGAAACUGGGUCUAAUACCGGAUAUGACCUCCUAUCGCAUGGUGGGUGGUGGAAAGAUUUAUCGGUGCAGGAUGGGCCCGCGGCCUAUCAGCUUGUUGGUGGGGUAAUGGCCUACCAAGGCGACGACGGGUAGCCGACCUGAGAGGGUGACCGGCCACACUGGGACUGAGACACGGCCCAGACUCCUACGGGAGGCAACAGUGGGGAAUAUUGCACAAUGGGCGAAAGCCUGAUGCAGCGACGCCGCGUGAGGGAUGACGGCCUUCGGGUUGUAAACCUCUUUCAGCAGGGACGAAGCGCAAGUGACGGUACCUGCAGAAGAAGCACCGGCUAACUACGU